GUUUUGAUACACUGACUGCUCAAAUGAUUGGUAUCAUCUCUCUCUCUGUGUGUGUGUGUGUGUGUGUAUUUUGCUAAUGUAGGUUAUCUAUAUACUAGUCAGGUUUAUAUACUAGUCAGGUUCAUAUACUAGUCAGGUUCAGAUACUAGUCAGGUUCAUAUACUAGUCAGGUUUAUAUACUAGUCAGGUUUAUAUACUAGUCAGGUUCAGAUACUUGUCAGGUUUAUAUACUAGUCAGGUUCAUAUACUAGUCAGGUUCAUAUACUAGUCAGGUUCAUAUACUAGUCAGGUUCUAGUCAGGUUCAUAUACUAGUCAGGUUUAUAUACUAGUCAGGUUUAUAUACUAGUCAGGUUUAUAUACUAGUCAGGUUUAUAUACUAGUCAGGUUCAUAUACUAGUCAGGUUCUAGUCAGGUUCAUAUACUAGUCAGGUUUAUAUACUAGUCAGGUUCAUAUACUAGUCAGGUUCAUAUACUAGUCAGGUUUAUAUACUAGUCAGGUUCAGAUACUAGUCAGGUUCAUAUACUAGUCAGGUUCAUAUACUAGUCAGGUUCUAGUCAGGUUCAUAUACUAGUCAGGUUUAUAUACUAGUCAGGUUUAUAUACUAGUCAGGUUUAUAUACUAGUCAGGUUUAUAUACUAGUCAGGUUCAUAUACUAGUCAGGUUCAUAUACUAGUCAGGUUCAUAUACUAGUCAGGUUUAUAUACUAGUCAGGUUCAUAUACUAGUCAGGUUCUAGUCAGGUUCAUAUACUAGUCAGGUUUAUAUACUAGUCAGGUUCAUAUACUAGUCAGGUUCAUAUACUAGUCAGGUUUAUAUACUAGUCAGGUUCAGAUACUAGUCAGGUUCAUAUACUAGUCAGGUUCAGAUACUAGUCAGGUUCAUAUACUAGUCAGGUUUAUAUACUAGUCAGGUUUAUAUACUAGUCAGGUUCAGAUACUUGUCAGGUUCAUAUACUAGUCAGAUUCUAGUCAGGUUCUAGUCAGGUUCAUAUACUAGUCAGGUUCAUAUACUAGUCAGGUUCAUAUACUAGUCAGGUUCAUAUACUAGUCAGGUUCUAGUCAGGUUCAUAUACUAGUCAGGUUCAGAUACUAGUCAGGUUCAUAUACUAGUCAGGUUCAUAUACUAGUCAGGUUCUAGUCAGGUUCAUAUACUAGUCAGGUUCUAGUCAGGUUCAUAUACUAGACAGGUUCAGAUACUAGUCAGGUUCAUAUACUAGUCAGGCUCUAGUCAGGUUCAUAUACUAGACAGGUUCAGAUACUAGUCAGGUUCAUAUACUAGUCAGGUUCUAGUCAGGUUCAUAUACUAGUCAGGUUCAGAUACUAGUCAGGUUCAUAUACUAGUCAGGUUCAUAUACUAGUCAGGUUAAUAUACUAGUCAGGUUCAUAUACUAGUCAGGUUUAUAUACUAGUCAGGUUCAUAUACUAGUCAGGUUCAUAUACUAGUCAGGUUCAGAUACUAGUCAGGUUCAGAUACUAGUCAGGUUUAUAUACUAGUCAGGUUCAUAU